rnacentral:lncRNA from 1 species
CUGUAAAAAAAAAGGGGGGAGGGGUUUACUGUUUUCUAAGAUUCCUUCUAUCUUUAGAUAUGAGCCUGUGGAAUUGGAUGGGACAUACAUGAGGCUGAAGGAGAUUUGGUGAAGGCCAAUUAAUAGCUAAAUAUAUAUACUGAACUUCCUUCAGUAGAGCAAUUCAAGCAAGAGAGCAAUGGAUUAAUAACAUAAGUUUCUAGUCUACUCUCCAAGGUCGGAAAGUGUUCGAGGGGUUUGAUUUAUUGAGCUGUGGGGGAGAGAUCCUGCUGUGCCCAUAGAGGAGAUGGUAAUUCUUUGAAAAAGGGAUUGUUCAACUCCUACAGAGAGAGGCUUUAGGCAAUUUUGAAAUAAUAGAAGCUGAGAAUCUUGGGCCUCAUAUAGAUUGUACACCAUCGGUCUCUUCCCUUGGGAUGGGAGAAAAAGAAACAGCUGUUAAUAGAAUCA